rnacentral:rRNA from 1 species
UACGUAGGAGGCAAGCGUUGUCCGGAAUUACUGGGCGUAAAGCGCGUGUAGGUGGUGGGACAAGUCUGCUGUGAAAGCGCCUGGCUUAACCGGGCGAGGUCGGCGGAACUGUUUCACUGGAGGACGGUAGAGGGGGGUAGAAUUCCACGUGUAGCAGUGAAAUGCGUAGAUAUGUGGAGGAACACCGAUGGCGAACGGCAGCCCCCUGGGUCAAAACUGACGCUCAUGCACGAAAGCGUGGGGAGCAAACAGG